rnacentral:rRNA from 1 species
GACGAACGCUGGCGGCGUGCUUAACACAUGCAAGUCGAACGAAGUGGCGAACGGGUGAGUAACGCGUAAUCAACCUGCCCUUCAGAGGGGGACAACAGUUGGAAACGACUGCUAAUACCGCAUACUGAAGGAGGGGAUUGCGUCUGAUUAGCUAGUUGGAGGGGUAACGGCCCACCAAGGCGAUGAUAAGUAGCCGGUCUGAGAGGAGGAACGGCCACAUGGGGACUGAGACACGGCCCAGACUCAUACGGGAGGCAGCAGUGGGGAAGCUUCCGCAAUGGACGAAAGUCUGACGGAGCAACGCCGCGUGAGUGAUGACGGCCUUCGGGUUGUAAAGCUCUGUUAAUCGGGACGCGGUACCGGAAUAGAAAGCCACGGCUAACUACGUGCCAGCAGCCGCGGUAAUUC